CCUACGGGUGGCAGCAGUAGGGAAUAUUGGACAAUGGGUGGAAGCCUGAUCCAGCCAUGCCGCGUGCAGGAAGAAGGCCUUCUGGGUUGUAAACUGCUUUUGCCAGGGGAUAAAAAGGGCGUGCGCGCCAAAUUGAAGGUACCUGGUGAAUAAGCCACGGCUAACUACGUGCCAGCAGCCGCGGUAAUACGUAGGUGGCAAGCGUUGUCCGGAUUUAUUGGGUUUAAAGGGUGCGUAGGCGGCUUAUUAAGUCAGUGGUGAAAGACGGUAGCUUAACUAUCGAGGUGCCAUUGAUACUGAUGAGCUUGAGUACUGAUGAGGUAGGCGGAAUGGACGGUGUAGCGGUGAAAUGCAUAGAUAUCGUCCAGAACACCGAUAGCGAAGGCAGCUUACUAAGCAGUAACUGACGCUGAGGCACGAAAGUGUGGGGAUCAAACAGG
rnacentral:rRNA from 1 species